CCUACGGGUGACUGCAGUGGGGAAUAUUGGGCAAUGGGCGCAAGCCUGACCCAGCAAUGCCGCGUGAAGGAAGAAGGCUUUCGGGUUGUAAACUUCUUUGACAGGGGAAGAGCAGAAGACGGUACCCUGAAAACAAGCCACGGCUAACUACGUGCCAGCAGCCGCGGUAAUACGUAGGUGGCAAGCGUUGUCCGGAUUUACUGGGUGUAAAGGGCGUGUAGCCGGGAAGGCAAGUCAGAUGUGAAAUCUGGAGGCUCAACCUCCAAAUUGCAUUUGAAACUGUUUUGCUUGAGUACUGGAGAGGCAGACGGAAUUCCAGGUGUAGCGGUGAAAUGCGUAGAGAUAAGGAGGAACACCAGUGGCGAAGGCGGUCUGCUGGACGGCAACUGACGGUGAGGCGCGAAAGCGUGGGGAGCAAACAGGAUUAGAUACCCUAGUAGUC
rnacentral:rRNA from 1 species